rnacentral:antisense_RNA from 1 species
CCAGCCAGCGCAGCCCACCUCUCCUCUCCAGGCCAGGGCCCCACACACAUUCUGCCUGACAGCCAGCCAAGCUCUUCAGUCCCCCGCCCUCCACCUGCCAGGGAGGCUUGGGGCGUUAUACCUGCCACCACGGGACACAUAUACUCAUAGAAAUGAGUUAUUUAAAGAAGACGGUCCAGAUUCCACAGUCCAAAAAAAAAAAAAAAAAGAGGUUUGCCCUGCUUCUGAAGGAGUCAGGAUACGAAUGCAGAGGUCUUCCUGUUGGCUCACGUAUCAGACCUUCAACGUCAACAUUAAAUGUGAGUGAUGCUCUCCACUCUGUGAAUGUGGCUUUGGGUAUGGCUAAUCCACACCCUGCACUCUGGCCUUCAGAAGCCCAGGGAGAGAAGCCUCCCAGAAGCAACCUUCCAGAACCUUCUCCAUACUCCCACCGACCUCCCCAGCCCCUGUCUUCUCUUUGAAUCUCGUUGUCAAGUUCUUUCCUGGCUCCUUGAGGGGAGGUGCAGCUUUCAUCUGACCAUGCAGGCGUGCUUUGCAGUGGGUAGAGCAGUGCUUUCCUCCUCCCAGCUGCACACUGGAAUCACCUGGAGAGUCCAGAAACUUCCCGCCUCAGUGAAAGAACAUCAGUGUAUCAGCACAGCAAAGAUUCCAAAUGCCAGGCUGGAUUGCCUCCAAUUACCAGGACCUCCAGGCUUCUCCUCCUUUCAAGAACUUUCUGAUCCUGGAUCCAGUCUAAAUGUUGGUUAUAAACUCACCUGACAUCCACAGGGCCCUUCCAAAGUACUGUCAAGGCUGACUGCUGGUGCCUGGAACCUGCACACCCUCCUGGGACUCUGCAUCUCUGCUGGGGCUGGUUUCUCCUCUGAGCCACCUUAAGGAAUCCCACCCUGACCCGGUCACAGCUCAGCAUGCCUCCCUCUACUACUUGCUCAGCAUUUUGUGUCUAUCUAGACUGAAGCCUUUGCUUUCUCUCUGUGAUUGUGGUGAAAGUUCAGUUUGCUUUCCUCUCUCUAGAAUGUCAGCACGAAGGCAGAGGCAUGGUCUCCUGAGUUCCAUAACCCCAAAGCCUAACUCCCUGCCUGCCACACUGAGGGGCUCAGUAGACAUUGACUUACUAAAUUGAAUAGUUGAGUAAUAAUGCUCUUUGAAAUAAUUUGGAGUUAGAUCUUGAGCCUUGUGCGGCCAGGGGAUGCAUGAGGGCACAUCAUAAAAACUGAAGGUAACUGAGCAUGCCAGCGGUUGGGGUGAGAAAUUUGCAUGGAGCACUCCAGACACAGAGGCAGCAAAACCCAAGUGCUGGGGAGUCAGAGUGAGAGAGUGAAGGGGCACUGAGUGCCUCUUUAGGAGCUGGAUCAAAACCUGAGAUGAUCUGGCCACAUGGUGCAGACUGAGCACGCACUUGGGAGAGAAAUGGGCCGGGAGGAGAGGAGAGAGGUUCACCACAGGACAGUGGAUGGCUGGGAAUAGAAGCCCUCCCCAUGGUGGAGUAUCAGUCUGUGAAGCUGAGAGCAAGACAAAAGAAAUCAUGACUUCUGUGGGUAGCUGGGAUGGAAACCUCAGGGGUGACAGGGUCUUUAAAGGAAAUCUCAAGGAGGGCAUCAUGUUCCGGGUGUGUUCCAGGGAUGCUGAGUAAGAAAAGACCACCUUUUCUGUAUGUGUCUUUACUCUGCCACAAGGCACCUGGGCUCCUAAAUGACCAACACACAUGUGCUAUACUGGUGCCAGGAAAGAAGGGUGUUUUGUAGGAAAGUCAAGGUGAGAGGAGGUGCCCAGGACUUGGCUCCUUUCUUUGAAGGGUGAUGGUGUAAAUUCUCCAUGCUGGGGAUACUACUGAUGGAUGGAGGCGUGUCGAUCUCAUCAUUUCACAGAGUGGGGAGCUAUGGCCACGACGUGCCUAUCACACAAGUCCAGCCUCACGUCAGCUGGACACCAGCUGUUCUGACACUUGUCAGCACAUGGGGCACCCGGAAGUUCACGGUGUUCUGCAAAGAACGCCACAAAACAGUGAGCUCAACUUCUUGAAAAUCAUAAUGUGUAGCUAAGUCCAAUCCCAGAUCCUAAAAAUAAUAUGAGGUAUAGUGGCCAUUGAACAGAAAAAAUUUACAUCUUAAACUUGAAGAUAAGUACAAGUGUACCUUUUUCUACCACUGUUGUUCAGUUUUAUUACAUUGAUGAGCACCUCUGCCCACCCUAUGGGGUAACACUGUUUGAGAAUCACUGAUUUAUGAAAGUUAUAUAAAUAUUGGCUGAUCAAAUGUACAAAAUUUGCAUGAUGGCACCAUAUUGUGUAUAAUAGUGACAAAUACAGUUCAUGUGGGUGGAGAAAUAA